rnacentral:lncRNA from 1 species
CUAGGAAGUAUGCGGAACUUCUACCAGCCCUGGCCAAGCCCUCAAGCAAUGCAAGAAGGGAAAGGACAAACUCCCCACUGAGCAAUAGAGCCGGUCCCCUGGAUCCCACUGCUUUCAGGACAGUGUGCCUCUCCCACACCCCCCUCCUUUCUCAUGCUGGCGUCUUCUCAGCUGAGCAAGGCAAGACCAUCAAAUCAAGUCACAUCAAAUCAAAUCAAAGAGAAGAAAGCAAUACUGCAGACCACGUGUUGGAGCGUGAGAACACAAGGAGCCUCUUCUGUGCCCUGCCUGACCACCUGCCACACUUUUAACUUCUUUACACAGUUGCCAGGACUUAUUUGAAAGGGUGGCUCAAGUUUAUCUCCUUUCCCUGGAUUCCCAUCUCUCCAGAAAAAUCCAGAGUGACAGUAACAUAACCUUUGUGGAGAAACAAAAUAUCAAUAUUUUCCUCAAACACUUUUAAAAUAUGCUUAUCAACAACUGCAGGAAAGAGGGAAUAACAGUCUGCCUAAAUACCUGGCUUAAUCAUUUUGCGAGCCAAUUAUGGAAAAAGAAAUCUAAUUUUACUUUUAUCAAGAAGAACAAAAAGGAAGUCAUUAGGUAAUAUUCAGCUUUAAGAAUUGGAAUCUGGGGUGGGCACAGUGGCUCAUGCCUAUAAUCUCAGCACUUUGGGAGGCUGAGAUGGGAGGAUCACUUGAGCCCAGGAAUUCACGACCAGCCUGAGCAACAUGGCAAAACCCCGUCUCUACUAAAAAUACAAAAACUAGCCGGGCGUGGUGGUGCAUGCCUGUAGUCCUAGCUACUCUGGAGGCUGAGGUGGGAGGAUCAUUUCAGCCCAGGGGGCAGAGGUUGCAGUCAGCAGAAUGCACCACUGCACUCCAGCCUGGGCAACAGAGCAAGUCCCUUUCUCAAAAAAAAAAAAAAAAAAAAAAAAAAGAAUUAGAAUCUACAACAUCACUGGGGCAAGCCUUGUCCUCACCAGGAACUAUUCACCUCACACCAAUACAGGAAUUACACCCGAGGGAUACUUCCAGGGCCCCAGCCUCCCCCACCCCCAGGAUGGCAUCCACUCUCCAUGGACCCUGCCACUUGACAUGAUUGCUUGCUCCUAGUCUGUAAGUCUAGUUAGAGCCCCAUUAAUAUUUGAUGUUUCUCAUAAACACAAAUACACGUUUUUAUUCUUUUACUUUCUCUUGUUUCUGUCUCCUAAAGUGCCUCAUCUUCCCCACCAGGGCCUGAGAUUUUGUCACCCAGACUCUGGGUGACAAAACCGUUUAGUUCUCUUGGCUUCUACCUGACCCAGCACAGCCCAGGUGCACACCCAAGGCCUACAUUCUUGGUCUUGCUCCUCAGGAGCUUCCUGUGUAUUAACCUGGCUCCAUAAGGUUUUGAGCAAAAGGUGAUGAGGCUCUCUCGGGAUGAGGAUGGAUUUCCAGGAUAGUUAAGAGUACAGGGUCAUAUGGGACAUUAUCUCCUCAGUUGGACUCUGCCUAGAUUCCAGUCCUUCCAAGGAGACUAUGAGUGAUCCUAACCUCGUCCUUAACUCCCCUAAAAAGAGAAAUAAAUUGGAUGUAUAUUAGUCUGCUAGGGUUAUCAUAACAAAAUACCACAGACUAGGUGGUUUAAACAACAGAAAUUUAUCUUCUUACAGUUCUGGAGGCAAGAAGUCCAAGAUCAAGGUGUCUGCAGGUGUGGUUUCUUCUGAAGCCUCCCUCCUUGGCUUACCUUCUUUCAUGGCAUUUCCUCAUAUAGCAUUUCCUAUGUGUGCACACACCCCUGGUGUCUCCUGUGUGCAUCCAAAUGUUCUCUUUUAUAAGGACACUAGUCAGAUUGGAUUAGGGUCCAAUCCAAUGGCCUCAUUUUUUUUUUUUUUUUUUUGAGACAGAGUUUCACUCUUGUUGCCUGGGCUGGAGUGCAAUGGUGCAAUCUUGGCUCACUGCAACCUCUGCCUCCUGGGUUCGAGCGAUUCUCCUGUCUCAGCCUCCUGAGUAGCUGGGAUUACAGGCGCCCGCCACCACUCCUGGCUAAUUUUUCUAUUUUUAGUAGAGAUGGGGUUUCAUCAUAUUGGUCAGGCUGGUCUCGAACUCCUGACCUCAGGUGAUCUGCCUACCUCGGCCUCCCAAAGUGCUGGGAUUACAGGCGUGAGCCAACGUGCCCAGUAAUGGCCUCAUUUUUAAUGUAAUCACCCCUUUAAAGGCCCCAGCUCCAAUUAUAGUCAUAUUCUGAGAUACUGGAGGCUUCACAUAUAAAUACAGAGGGGUCACAAUUCACUCCAUAAUGGGUGGAUUUGCUACCUUCUGAUAUGAAGGGCCCUUAUGGGGCAGAUUUUAUGCUACACUGUCUCAGAUGCAGUUGUCAUGUCCAGUUCCUAGGUGGCUGCCUUUGGCUUGGCAUCCAUGUCUGGUGAAGCCAGUUAUGGUGAGGGCACCAAGUUGGUUUCGCUCAAAACAUAGCAUAAGCAAUAGCAACUGACGCAAGAAAGAACUGGUUUGGGCCACUUUCCUUAAAAGGGUGCUUCAGGUGUGGCGGGUGUUCCUGGAUUCCUGCAGUACAAGCAGAGAAUCCACGUGGCUGCCAGUUGCUGGAAGCAGAGCUGGUGCUCCUUUUCUCCCCACCUGCCCAGGUCUCAGCCUCUGGGAUGUGAAAGCAGGACUGCAUCUUCCCCACCCAACCUCAACUAGGCCCUUUCCAGGCCUGGCACCUGUUCACCUGUUGGGGGUUAGUAAGAUCCAUGCUGGGAAAGGGGAGAGGGACCAACAAAUGAGACUCUUCCCAGAAGCACCUCUGGCUGCUGGUCAGAUGGCCAGGUUAUGUCUAGCUUGAGAGGCUGGAGGCAGAAAGACUUGGACUGCUGCCAUAAUAACCUGCACCUGGGCCAGCAGAUGCCUUCUCUCCUGGGGGACCUCUUGGGCUGCUCCUCUCCUGGUGCUCAGAUGACCAGCAAUCAUACAGACCGCCCCACCAGGGAGCAGAAAGCCAGGGAGCUGCCCCUUCUUUGGUUCUCAUUGAGAGUCUUACCCCAGCCCUAGCCCCUGGUGCCUUCCUGCCUAACCUCAACUGCUCCUGCUGGGGUCCUGGUGUUGUUUGAAAGGGGAAAAGACCCCCCAAAAAUUUAUCCAAAAUGAAAAAACAAAUGAGCGGAGGCCCCACCUGCUAACCAGGCCUGAAUGCAGCAUUUGUUGAGAGCUGGUACCUGCUUUUACUUACUUAUCUGCUGUUUCCAAAGCUGAAUCUUUGAGGUGAGGAACCAGGCCUACAGAAUCACAUUCAUUCAUACAGGAAGGAGGAGAAGGGGUCUUUCAGGGAAUCUUGACCCUAUGGGUUCCAAUGCCUGGCAAAUGGCAUUAAGUUUGCCCUUUGGAACCCAGGGGCAGUGGGGAUAUUUAAAUAUGUAGGUGGCCCUGGCUAUGAGAAACCAUCUGAUGACAAGUCCCUGGUUCUCCUCUUAGGAGAUGCGGACGAUACUGCCAGGGUAAUCCAAAUCCCAAAGUGAUGCUUCUUUGAAAUUGCAAAGCUACCACCACUUUAUCACAAACUUCUGAAGCAGUAGUUUUGCCUCGUGUUCAAUUUAAGGUUCAAAAAUUCCUUUCAAGCUGUUUUGUUUGGAUCAUGUUUUUGUCUGCCAGGCAUCUCUCCUUUUGGAGAAAUGCCACUUCCUCACAAUCUGUGAUUCCAGGAAAAGCUAUGAAUAAUGGGGCCCUACCCCUUCAAUCACAGUCCCCACUCAGACCACCCUCACUCCCAGGUAUCUGAAUCUAGAGUGGGAACACAGAGGGUAAGAAGGCAGGUGGGGCUGGGCUGUUUCACAGAACUUCUGCACUGGAGGAAGCCAUCACAGGCAUCAUUACCACCUUGUGUUACAGAUGAGAAAACGGAGACUCAGAAAAUUAAAUGUCUUCUCCGACACUGCCCAAGGUCCCUGGCAGAGCCAGGAUUUAAACCCAGGUCUGUGUGACCCCAAAGUUCACGAUCGUUCCACUCACCAAAAUAGUCACCAUGUGCAAAGCACUUAUUAGGGGGAAACAGCUUUAGAGCUUGCCCAUUUCACUCAGUGAAUUAGAUGCAGAGGCAUAUGUGACAUUCAGUUAUUUCUCAUUUGCAUGCACAGGAUCAUGGUCUUUCAUCUCCCCACCUUGCUGCAAUUCCCUGCAUCAGCUCACCAUUGUGGUCCUCACACGCCCUACCAUUUGCCAAUGAAGGGGUUUUAGUUUUUCUCAAGACACAUUUUUCUGUGUUUUCAGGUCUGCCUUCAUCUUCAUCUUCAUGAGACAGGCACUAGCCUAUGUGUGUCCUCUAUUUUCCUGAAUUGUUCUUUUCUCAACCAAUUACUGCAUCCCCUUGGAGUCCCCCCACCCCCACCUCCAACUGCCUAUAAAAGCAGGCUAGAAGCCAGGGUUUCCCUGUAAAUACUGAAAUUGUUCUUCCAUUUUGCCAUUACACAUUAUGCUUUAACCAAAUAAAGCAUGUCUGCUGAGGACACUGGAGCCUCUUCCGAGAUAGUUUAUUUUCCUAUGACCUGCGAGCUUCUUUCUUCCUGAUGAAUCAGCACCGCCG